rnacentral:lncRNA from 1 species
CAUUAAGGUCUGGCGUUCUCUCAUUGUGGGCUGGGGUGCUUCAUUAAGGUUGGGGUCUCUCAUUAUGGGCUGGGGUCUCUCAUUAAGGUCUGGGGUCUCUUCAUCUCUGGGCUGGGGUUCAUAAGGUCUGGGGUCUUGCAUUAUGAAUCUGGGUCUCUUCAUUAGUCUGGGGUCUCUCAAUUAAGGUCGGGGUCUCUCAUUACGGUCUGGGGUCUCUCAUUAUGGGUCUGGGUCUGCUCAUUAAAGCGUCUGGGGUCUCUCAUUAAUGGCUGGGGGUCUCCUCAUUAAGGUCUGGGGUCCUCUCAUUAUGGGCUGGGGUCUCAUUAAGGCUUGGGGUCUCUCAUUAAGGUCUGGGGUCUUCAUUAAGGUCUGGGGUCUCAUUACGGUCUGGGUCUCUCAUUAUGGUCUGGGGUCUCUCAUUAAGGUCUGGGGUCUCUCAUUAUGGGCUGGGGUCUCAUUAAGGUCUGGGGUCUCAUUAAGGUCUGGGGGUCUCUCAUUAAGGUCUGGGGGGUCUCAUUAAGGUCUGGGGUCUCUCAUUAAGGUCUGGGGUCUCUCAUUAUGGGCUGGGGUCUCUCAUUAAGGUCUGGGGUCUCUCAUUAUGGGCUGGGGUCUCAUUAUCGGUUCUGGUGGUCUCUCCCUCUAUAGCUCCCCUAUGGGCCUAGCCCGCGCCAUAACUAGGCCGCAAUCCGCCCCCCGCUCCCCUUU